rnacentral:rRNA from 1 species
UACGAGGGGGGCAAGCGUUGUUCGGAUUCACUGGGCGUAAAGGGUGCGUAGGUGGUGAGGUAAGUCGGAUGUGAAAGCUCGGAGCUCAACUCCGAAAUGGCAUUGGAAACUACCUUGCUCGAGGGUUGGAGGGGGGACUGGAACACUUGGUGUAGCAGUGAAAUGCGUAGAUAUCAAGUGGAACACCAGUGGCGAAGGCGAAUCCCUGGAAAAUACCUGACACUGAGGCACGAAAGCUAGGGGAGCAAACAGG